AUUGAACGCUGGCGGUAUGCUUAACGCAUGCAAGUCGAACGGUAGCAGGCCUUCGGGCGCUGACGAGUGGCGGACGGGUGAGUAACGCGUAGGAAUCUGCCUCAUAGUGGGGGACAACGUGUGGAAACGCACGCUAAUACCGCAUACGCCCUACGGGGGAAAGCGGGGGAUCGUAAGACCUCGCGCUAUGAGAUGAGCCUGCGUUAGAUUAGCUAGUUGGUAGGGUAAAGGCCUACCAAGGCGACGAUCUAUAGCGGGUCUGAGAGGACGAUCAGCCACACGGGGACUGAGACACGGCCCAGACUCCUACGGGAGGCAGCAGUGGGGAAUAUUGGACAAUGGGCGCAAGCCUGAUCCAGCAAUGCCGCGUGUGUGAAGAAGGCCCUAGGGUUGUAAAGCACUUUCAAUAGGGAGGAAAACCUGCCGGUCAAUACCCGGUAGCUUGACAUUACCUAUACAAGAAGCACCGGCUAACUCUGUGCCAGCCGCCGCUGUAAUAC
rnacentral:rRNA from 1 species